GGUUGUGGCUCAGUGGUAGAGUGCUUGCCUAGCACGUGGGAGGCCCUGGGUUCGAUCCUUAGCACCA
rnacentral:tRNA from 1 species